UACGUAGGGUGCAAGCGUUGUCCGGAAUUAUUGGGCGUAAAGAGCUCGUAGGCGGUCUGUCGCGUCUGCUGUGAAAACUCAGGGCUUAACCCUGAGCUUGCAGUGGGUACGGGCAGACUAGAGUGCGGUAGGGGAGACUGGAAUUCCUGGUGUAGCGGUGAAAUGCGCAGAUAUCAGGAGGAACACCGGUGGCGAAGGCGGGUCUCUGGGCCGUAACCGACGCUGAGGAGCGAAAGUGUGGGGAGCGAACAGG
rnacentral:rRNA from 1 species